CCUACGGGAGGCAGCAGUGAGGAAUAUUGGUCAAUGGGCGCGAGCCUGAACCAGCCAAGUAGCGUGAAGGAUGACUGCCCUACGGGUUGUAAACUUCUUUUAUAAGGGAAUAAAGUGAGGCACGUGUGCCUUUUUGUAUGUACUUUAUGAAUAAGGAUCGGCUAACUCCGUGCCCGCCGCCGCGGUAAUACGGAGGAUCCGAGCGUUUUCCGGAUUUAUUGGGUUUAAAGGGAGCGUAAAUGGGUGGUUAAGUCAGUUGUGAAAGUUUGCGGCUCAACCGUAAAAUUGCAAUUGAUACUGGUAGUCUUGAGUACAGUUGAGGUAGGCGGAAUUCGUGGUGUAGCGGUGAAAUGCGUAGAUAUCACGAAGAACUCCGAUUGCGAAGGCAGCUUACUAAACUGCCACUGACAUUGAUGCUCGAAAGUGUGGGUAUCAAACAGGAUUAGAUACCCCAGUAGUC
rnacentral:rRNA from 1 species